rnacentral:lncRNA from 1 species
CACACUUGAAGAAGCAACAACAAUCCACAAGAAAUUGAAAUAGUCUCUGAUUCUCAAAAAAAUCCAGAAUCACCCCAACAAAUCAAAAAAUCCAAAAAUUACCACUGAUAACUCAAUAAGGCUGAACAGGAAGGACCGAGAAGAAGAAAAAUACAUCCGAGAGGAAGAACCAUGCUCUGAUACCAUGUGAACAUGGAGAAUCGGAGAUGAAGAAGGGAGAGAGAGAGAGAGAGAGAGAGAGAAA